CCUACGGGAGGCAGCAGUGGGGAAUAUUGGGCAAUGGGCGAAAGCCUGAUCCAGCAAUGCCGCGUGAGUGAUGAAGGCCUUAGGGUUGUAAAGCUCUUUUACCAGGGAUGAUAAUGACAGUACCUGGAGAAUAAGCUCCGGCUAACUCCGUGCCAGCAGCCGCGGUAAUACGGAGGGAGCUAGCGUUGUUCGGAAUUACUGGGCGUAAAGCGUACGUAGGCGGUUAUUCAAGUCAGAGGUGAAAGCCUGGAGCUCAACUCCAGAACUGCCUUUGAAACUAGAUAGCUAGAAUCUUGGAGAGGUGAGUGGAAUUCCGAGUGUAGAGGUGAAAUUCGUAGAUAUUCGGAAGAACACCAGUGGCGAAGGCGACUCACUGGACAAGUAUUGACGCUGAGGUACGAAAGCGUGGGGAGCAAACAGGAUUAGAUACCCUGGUAGUCCACGCCGUAAACGAUGAUAACUAGCUGUUCGGGCUCUACGAGCUUGAGUGGCGCNGCUACGCAUUAAGUUAUCCGCCGUGGGAGGUACGGUCGCGAGAUAAACUACAAGAAGUAGACGCGNGAGACGUGCCGAGGACGACGACGAGGGAGUAGG
rnacentral:rRNA from 1 species